UCGGACGUGGUGUACGGUGCACGCGCGCGCUCUCUAGACCUCGCCGAAGAGAAUACAGGAGUAAUGCGGGCGGCCUGGGUUCGAUUCCCAGCGUCCGAA